rnacentral:rRNA from 1 species
AGCGAACGCUGGCGGCAGGCUUAACACAUGCAAGUCGAGCGCCGUAGCAAUACGGAGCGGCAGACGGGUGAGUAACGCGUGGGAACGUACCUUCUGGUUCGGAAUAACUCAGGGAAACUUGAGCUAAUACCGGAUAAGCCCUUCGGGGGAAAGAUUUAUCGCCGGAAGAUCGGCCCGCGUAAGAUUAGCUAGUUGGUGAGGUAAUGGCUCACCAAGGCUACGAUCUUUAGCUGGUCUGAGAGGAUGAUCAGCCACACUGGGACUGAGACACGGCCCAGACUCCUACGGGAGGCAGCAGUGGGGAAUAUUGGACAAUGGGCGCAAGCCUGAUCCAGCAAUGCCGCGUGUGUGAAGAAGGCCUGCGGGUUGUAAAGCACUUUCAGUGGGGAAGAACAGAUUCGGGUCAAUACCCCGGAGCCCUGACGUUACCCACAGAAGAAGCACCGGCUAACUCCGUG